CCUACGGGGGGCUGCAGUGGGGAAUAUUGGACAAUGGGGGGAACCCUGAUCCAGCCAUGCCGCGUGUGUGAAGAAGGCCCUCGGGUUGUAAAGCACUUUCAGUGAGGAAGAACGCCUGGUGGUUAAUACCCAUCAGGAAAGACAUCACUCACAGAAGAAGCACCGGCUAACUCCGUGCCAGCAGCCGCGGUAAUACGGAGGGUGCGAGCGUUAAUCGGAAUUACUGGGCGUAAAGCGCGCGUAGGUGGCUUGAUAAGCCGGUUGUGAAAGCCCCGGGCUCAACCUGGGAACGGCAUCCGGAACUGUCAAGCUAGAGUGCAGGAGAGGAAGGUAGAAUUCCCGGUGUAGCGGUGAAAUGCGUAGAGACCGGGAGGAAUACCAGUGGCGAAGGCGGCCUUCUGGACUGACACUGACACUGAGGUGCGAAAGCGUGGGUAGCAAACAGGAUUAGAUACCCUUGUAGUC
rnacentral:rRNA from 1 species